rnacentral:rRNA from 1 species
GACGUAGGGGGCAAGCGUUGUCCGGAAUUAUUGGGCGUAAAGCGCUCGUAGGCGGAUCGAUAAGUCUGUGAAGAAAGACCCGGGCUCAACUCGGGGGAACGGCAUAGAUACUGUUGAUCUUGAGACAGUCAGAGGAUGAUGGAAUUCCAGGUGUAGCGGUGAAAUGCGUAGAUAUCUGGAGGAACACCCAGUGGCGGAAGGCGAUCAUCUGGGGCUGUUCUGA